rnacentral:tRNA from 1 species
GGAGACGUGGCAGAGUGGUUGAAUGCACCGCAUUCGAAACGCGGCAGGUCCUCAAAAGGCCUCGGGGGUUCGAAUCCUCCCGUCUCCGCCA